UACGGGGGGGGCAAGCGUUGUUCGGAAUUACUGGGCGUAAAGGGCUCGUAGGCGGCCAACUAAGUCGGAUGUGAAAUCCCCAGGCUUAACCUGGGAACUGCAUCCGAUACUGGAUGGCUUGAAUCCGGGAGAGGGAUGCAGAAUUCCAGGUGUAGCGGUGAAAUGCGUAGAUAUCUGGAGGAAUACCGGUGGCGAAGGCGGCAUCCUGGACCGACACUGACGCUGAGGAGCGAAAGCCAGGGGAGCAAACGGG
rnacentral:rRNA from 1 species